AUAUCAAUAAGCGGAGGAAAAGAAACCAACAGGGAUUGCCCUAGUAACGGCGAGUGAAGCGGCAACAGCUCAAAUUUGAAAUCUGGCCUUUGGUCCGAGUUGUAAUUUGUAGAGGAUGAUUUUGGUGCGGUACUUUCCGAGUUCCCUGGAACGGGACGCUUAGAGGGUGAGAACCCCGUCAGGCCGUUUAUCUAGUCCAUGUGUUGCUCCUUCGACGAGUCGAGUUGUUUGGGAAUGCAGCUCAAAAUGGGUGGUAAAUUCCAUCUAAGGCUAAAUACUGGCCAGAGACCGAUAGCGCACAAGUA
rnacentral:rRNA from 1 species